GAUGAACGCUGGCGGCGUGCCUAAUACAUGCCAGUCGAGCGAACGGACGAGAAGCUUGCUUCUCUGAUGUUAGCGGCGGACGGGUGAGUAACACGUGGAUAACCUACCUAUAAGACUGGGAUAACUUCGGGAAACCGGAGCUAAUACCGGAUAAUAUUUUGAACCGCAUGGUUCAAAAGUGAAAGACGGUCUUGCUGUCACUUAUAGAUGGAUCCGCGCUGCAUUAGCUAGUUGUUAAGGUAACGGCUUACCAAGGCAACGAUGCAUAGCCGACCUGAGAGGGUGAUGGGCCACACUGGAACGGAGACACGGUCCAGACUCCUACGGGAGGCAGCAGUAGGGAAUCUUCCGCAAUGGGCGAAAGCCUGACGGAGCAACGCCGCGUGAGUGAUGAAGGUCUUCGGAUCGUAAAACUCUGUUAUUAGGGAAGAACAUAUGUGUAAGUAACUGUGCACAUCUUGACGGUACCUAAUCAGAAAGCCACGGCUAACUACGUG
rnacentral:rRNA from 1 species